GGCCUCGUAGCCUAGCUGGUAGAGCGUGCGCUGCACGAGAACUCAAGCGGUGUCCAUGCACGUGGGUUCAAGUCCCACCGAGGCUA
rnacentral:tRNA from 1 species